rnacentral:ncRNA from 2 species
CGCUCAUCCUGAGGAGCUGAGGGACCGGCCCUAUGACGCUCCGGCAACCAUCCGAUUCGCCGCUUCGACGCGGCGCGGUGCGGUGCCAACUCCGGCCCACACGGCAGCCGCCGAGUCGUGGGAAAGAUGAGGA